rnacentral:rRNA from 1 species
CAGGCCUAACACAUGCAAGUCGAGCGCUUGGGGUGUUCCCUUACGGGAAACCCCCUGGAGCGGCGGACGGGUGAGUAACACGUAGGCAACCUGCCUGUAAGAUCGGGAUAACUACCGGAAACGGUAGCUAAGACCGGAUAGCUGGUUUCUCCGCAUGGAGGGAUCAGGAAACAUGGGGCAACCUAUGGCUUACGGAUGGGCCUGCGGCGCAUUAGCUAGUUGGUGGGGUAACGGCCCACCAAGGCGACGAUGCGUAGCCGACCUGAGAGGGUGAUCGGCCACACUGGGACUGAGACACGGCCCAGACUCCUACGGGAGGCAGCAGUAGGGAAUCUUCCGCAAUGGGCGCAAGCCUGACGGAGCAACGCCGCGUGAGUGAUGAAGGCUUUCGGAUCGUAAAGCUCUGUUGCCAAGGAAGAACGCCUCGGAGAGUAACUGCUCUGAGGGUGACGGUACUUGAGAAGAAAGCCCCGGCUAACUACGUGCCAGCAGCCGCGGUAAUACGUAGGGGGCAAGCGUUGUCCGGAAUUAUUGGGCGUAAAGCGCGCGCAGGCGGUCUUUUAAGUUUGGUGUUUAAGCCCGGGGCUCAACCCCGGUUCGCACUGAAAACUGGGAGACUUGAGUGCAGGAGAGGAAAGCGGAAUUCCACGUGUAGCGGUGAAAUGCGUAGAGAUGUGGAGGAACACCAGUGGCGAAGGCGGCUUUCUGGACUGUAACUGACGCUGAGGCGCGAAAGCGUGGGGAGCAAAC